GAGGAAACCCAGACCCAAGACCAACCGAUGGAGGAGGAAGAGGAUGAGGCAUUUGCCUUUCAGGCAGAAAUUGCCCAGCUGAUGUCAUUGAUCAUCAAUACUUUCUAUUCAAACAAAGAGAUUUUUCUGAGAGAGCUCAUUUCAAACUCAUCAGAUGGUUCGGACAAAAUCAGAUAUGAAAGCUUGACAGAUCCCAGUAAACUAGACUCUGGGAAAGAGUUGCACAUUAAUCUCAUACCAAACAAACAAGAUCCAACCCUCACUAUUGUGGAUACUGGAAUUGGAAUGAUCAAGGCUGACUUGAUCAAUAACCUUGGUACUAUCACCAAGUCUGGGACCAAAGCAUUCACGGAAGCUUCGCAGGCUGGUGCAGACAUAUCUGUGAUUGGCCAGUUCGGUGUUGGUUUUUAUUCUGCGUAUUUGGUUGCCGAGAAAGUUAUCCUCCAUUUGAAAGAAGACCAAACUGAGUGCUUGAAGGAAAGAAGAAUAAAGGAGAUCAUGAAGAUAUAUUCUCAGUUUAUUGGCUAUCCCAUUACUCUGUUUGUGGAGAAGGAACAUGAUAAAGAAGUCAACGAUGAUGAGGCUGAAGAAAAGGAAGACAAGGAGGAGGAGAAAGAAAAAGAAGAAAAGGAAUCUGAUGACAAGCCCCAAAUAGAAGAUAUUGGUUUUAAUGAAGAGGAAGAAGAAAAGAAGAAUGGUGACAAGAAGAAAAAGAUAAAGGAAAACUACAUUGAUCAAGAAGAGCUCAACAAAACAAUGCCUACGUGGACGAGAAAUCCUGAUGAUAUUACUAAUGAAGAGUAUGGAGAAUUCUAUAAGAGCUUGACCAAUGACUGGGAAGAUCAUUUGGUGGUGAAGCACUUUUCAGUUGAAGGACAGUUGGAAUUCAGAGCUCUUCUUUUUUUCCAAGAUGUGCUCCUUUCGACAUAUUUGAAAACAGAAAGAAAAAGAACAACAUUAAGUUGUAUGUGCGCAGAGUUUUCAUCAUGGAUAUCUGUGAGGAGCUAAUCCCUGAAUACUUGAAUUUCAUUAGAGGAGUGGUGGAUUCUGAGGACUUCCCUCUAAAUAUUUCCCAUGAGAUGUUGCUGCAAAGCAAAAUUUUGAAAGUUAUCACAAAGAAUUUAGUCAAAAAGUGCUUAGAGCUCUUCAACGAAUUGGCAGGAGAUAAAGAGAACUACAAAAAGUUUUAUGAGCAGUUCUCUAAAAACAUAAAGCCUGGAAUACAAAACAGGAAGAAGCUUUCAGAGCUACUGCGAUACUAUACAUCUGCUUCUGGUGAUGAGAUGGUUUCUCUCAAGGACUACUGCACCAGAAUGAAGGAAAAACCAGAAAUAUAUCCACUGUAUCACAGGUGAGGCCAAGGACCAGGUAGCUAACUCAGCCUUCAUGGAACAUCUUCAGAAGCAUGGCUUAGAAUUGAUCUAUAUGAUCGAGCCAAUCGAUGAGUACUGUGUCUAACAACCGAAGGAAUUUGAGGGGAAAGCUUUAGUGUCAGUCACCAAAGAAGGCUUAGAACUUCCAGAAGAUGAAGAAGAGAAAAAGAAACAGGAAGAGAAAAAAACAAAGUUCGAAAACCUCUGCAAAAUCAUGAAAGACAUCUUGGAGAAAAAAGUUGAAAAGGUGCUUGUGUCAAACUGAUUGGUGACAUCCCCAUGCUGUAUUGUCACAAGCACAUAUGGCUGGACAGAAAACACGGAAAGAAUUAUGAAAGCUCAAGCCCUAAGAGACAGCUCGAUAAUGGGUUACAUGGCAGCUAAGAAACACCUGGAGAUAAACCCUGACCAUUCCGUUAUUGAGAACUUAAGGAAGAAGGCAGAGGCUGACAAGAAUGACAAGUCUGUGAAGGAUCUGGUCAUCUUGCUUUACGAAACUGCACUCUUGUCUUCUGGCUUCAGUCUGGAAGAUCCCCAGAAACAUGCUAACAGGAUCUGCAGGAUGAUCAAACUUGGUCUGGGUAUUGAUGAAGAUGACCCUACUGCUGAUGAUACCAAUGCUGCCGUAACUGAAGAGAUGCCACCUUUUGAAGGAGAUGAUGACACAUCACACGGGGAAGUAGACUAA